GACAGAGGCCUCGAGCGUUAGGCGGAAUCACUGGGCUUAAAGCGUGUGUAGGCGGGCCCGUAAGUGUCUUGUGAAAUCCCACGGCUCAACCGUGGAACUGCUGGGCAUACUGCGGGUCUUGGGCCAACUAGGGGCAGCCGGAACAAGCGGUGGAGCGGUGAAAUGCGUAGAUAUCGCUUGGAACGCCGAAGGUGAAAACGAUGCACUGGCUGAUUUCUGACGCUGAGGUGCGAAAGCCAGGGGAGCAAACGGG
rnacentral:rRNA from 1 species